rnacentral:rRNA from 1 species
UACGUAGGGUGCGAGCGUUUAAUCGGAAUUACUGGGCGUAAAGCGUGCGCAGGCGGCGCGUUAAGACAGGUGUGAAAGCCCCGAGCUUAACUUGGGAAUUGCGCUUGUGACUGGCGUGCUGGAGUGUGGCAGAGGGAGGUGGAAUUCCACGUGUAGCAGUGAAAUGCGUAGAGAUGUGGAGGAACACCGAUGGCGAAGGCAGCCUCCUGGGCCAGCACUGACGCUCAUGCACGAAAGCGUGGGAGCAAACAGG